GACGAACGCUGGCGGCGUGCUUAACACAUGCAAGUCGAACGGAAAGGCACUGCUUUUGUGGGGUGCUCGAGUGGCGAACGGGUGAGUAACAGGUGAGUAACCUGCCCUUGACUUUGGGAUAACUUCAGGAAACUGGGGCUAAUACAGGAUAGCAGCUCAUGCUGCAUGGUGGGGGUUGGAAAGUUUCGGCGGUUGGGGAUGGACUCGCGGCUUAUCAGCUUGUUGGUGGGGUAGUGGCUUACCAAGGCUUUGACGGGUAGCCGGCCUGAGAGGGUGACCGGCCACAUUGGGACUGAGAUACGGCCCAGACUCCUACGGGAGGCAGCAGUGGGGAAUAUUGCACAAUGGGCGGAAGCCUGAUGCAGCAACGCCGCGUGCGGGAUGACGGCCUUCGGGUUGUAAACCGCUUUCGCCUGUGACGAAGCGUGAGUGACGGUAAUGGGUAAAGAAGCACCGGCUAACUACGUG
rnacentral:rRNA from 1 species